UACAGAGGUGGCGAGCGUUGUUCGGAUUUACUGGGCGUAAAGGGUGCGUAGGCGGCUUCGUAUGUCGGGUGUGAAAUCCCACGGCCCAACCGUGGAAUGGCAUCCGAAACUGCGGAGCUGGAGUACUGGAGAGGAGAGCGGAAUUCUCGGUGUAGCGGUGAAAUGCGUAGAUAUCGAGAGGAACGCCGGUGGCGAAGGCGGCUCUCUGGACAGAUACUGACGCUGAGGAACGAAAGCUGGGGGAGCAAACAGG
rnacentral:rRNA from 1 species